CGGUAAUUCCAGCUCCAAUAGCGUAUACUAAAGUUGUUGCAGUUAAAAAGCUCGUAGUUGGAUUUCUGCGGGGACGGAGCGGCCGGACGCAACUUGCGUCUCGAGCUAGCGCUUUCCCCGCAUCCUGCCGCGAACCGUGCUACCAUUAGUUUGGUGGCGCUGGGGAUCGGCUCGAUUACUUUGAGAAAAAUAGAGUGUUCAAAGCAGGCCACACGCCUUGAAUAAGUUAGCAUGGAAUAAUGACUAAGGACUUUGGUUCUUUUCGUUGGUGUUCGGGACUGAAGUAAUGAUUGAUAGGGACAGUUGGGGCGGUCCGUAUUCCAAAGCGAGAGGUGAAAUUCUUAGACCUUCGGAAGACGAACAGCUGCGAAAGCGUUCCGCAAGGAUGUUCCCUUUGAUCAAGAACGAAAGUUGGGGGAUCGAAGACGAUCAGAUACCGUCGUAGUCUCAACUAUAAACUAUACCAGCUAGGGAUCGGCCAACGUUUAAUUAUUCGACUUGGUCGGCACCUUAUGAGAAAUCAAAGCAUCUGGGUUCCGGGGGGAGUAUGGUCGCAAGGCUGAAACUUAAAGGAAUUGACGGAAGGGCACCACCAGGCGUGGAGCCUGUGGCUUAAUUUGACUCAACACGGGAAAACUUACCAGGUCCAGACAUAGGAAGGAUUGACAGAUUGAUAGCUCUUUCUUGAUUCUGUGGGUGGUGGUGCAUGGCCGUUUUUAGUCGGUGAAGUGAUUUGUCUGCUUAAUUGCGUUAACGGACGAGACCCCAGCCUGCUAAAUAGCGCGGCCGAGCUUUGCUCGGUACGAGCUUCUUAGAGGGACCAUGAUGCGCGAUAGCACAAGGAAGUUUGGGGCAACAACAGGUCUGUGAUGCCCUUAGAUGUUCUGGGCCGCACACGGGCUACACUGGCGCCUGCAACGAGCAUAUCAGCUGGCCCGAGAGGGUCUUGGCUAAUCUUUGGAACCGGCGCCGUGCUUGGGAUUGACCAUUGCAAUUGUUGGUCAUGCAACGAGGAAUGCCUUGUAAACGCGAGUCAUCAGCUCGCAUUGAAUACGUCCCUGCCCUUUGUACACACCGCCCGUCGCUCCUACCGAUGAAUGUUCCGAUGAAAUUUUCGGAGAGCGCCGGAGAACGGGGCUCUGCCCUGCAGAACUGGAGGCUCAAAGUCACUUAAAUCUGAACAUUUCGAGGAAGGAGAAGUCGUAACAAGGUAGCCG
rnacentral:rRNA from 1 species